UGUGUGUGUGUGUGUGUUUGUGUUCACUUUGUUUUUAGCUUUCAGAUGGUUCCAGAGUUUCUCAGGUGCACGGGUUGACAGGUGCGACUGAUCUGCUGAUUGCCUUGAGGAGUAUUUAAGCAGGAGGCUGCCAGCACUUCGAUGCCAGAGUGUUUGCCUUCAGUGGCUGAAACCUGAACCCCGUUUAUCUUCGUUGAGCUUCGUCUUUGGUUCCAGUGACUUCCUGGACGCUCAAGUUUACCUACGUUUUGUGGAUUACGUUCUGGAUUUCGUGUUUUGGAUUAUGCUGGCAGCUUCCUGGAAAUUCCCGACUCCUGAACCAAGGCAGAGGCGUACCCUGUCCACCCUCCAACGCAAGUACCUGAACAUUGAACUCUCUCAUGAACUCACCAGUAUUCACUCCCCAGCUCGUACUGAAGCAUCUGGACAACCUAGCUUCGCACACCCAGGUUCUGACUCCCUCUACCCCUAGCGACCUGACGGCAUUUACUUGUUGGUGAAUUUACCCAUUCAUGUCCCUGUGUUCACGUACUGUAAAUAAACACCGUUACGCUUUCA